rnacentral:lncRNA from 1 species
UUUAGCCCUUAGGGACGAAAGCGGCAAUGUACUUGAUUGAAUUUUCUUUUCUUUUGAGAAUGUAGAAAGUUUCAACAUCUUUCUAGUCAAAUAGCAAGUUUUAUAAGCUUUAGCGUGAAAGAAAAAAAUAGAUAAGAUGCUGAAUGGCUCAUUAUUGAUACCUCCGGAUUAAGAAUGCUCCUAGUUGUUUGGAAGGUGAAGUUCAGGCAAAGUAUCGCCUUAGGAAUCUUGCAGAUACUGAUUCAGAAGGUCUGGGUGGUGCCUGAGAUUCAGCCCAAUAUAGUAAGUGAUGCCCAUGCUGCUGGUCUAUGGACUGCAUUUGAAUGGCAAGCCCUUCACAGAGCCAGCAGAGCCUCCUUUUGCACAAGGUAACCAAAGGAAGGUUGGCAAGAGAAUCUAGAAAAUUUGUAGACUUCUUGCUAUGAUAUUAGGAAGAGCAUGAAAAGGAAGAAAUGGAGCUGAGAGCUAAAAGGUGGGAGAUUAACAGGAGUGGUUGGCAGUGCAAUAUAGUAGUAAGUAUUGAGAAGAUUAAACAAGAACUUAUGGAGCCAGGAUGAUAGGGAUCCAGGAACCACCAAUAUUUGGAAAUUGGAGCAGACAGAUAUCUGUUCUGGAGAGGACGUGGGAUUGACUCACAGUAGCUUUAAGAUUCCCAGCAACAUUUUUAACACUGAAAUUCUGAUGUAACUGAUUCUAAGAAUUCACAUUAAAAUCUACGUCACUUUAUUCCUCAGUGAAAAUCUACAACAGCCUCUUGACACACCUAAGGUGCUCCUGUUUUUUUUGAAAAUAUGCCACAGAGUGUUUGCUGAAGUAUCAGGAAUAAUUAAA